rnacentral:lncRNA from 1 species
CUUGCCCUAGAGGAAAAGGCAAAUCUGACAUCAUCCAUCUUCCAGUCUGAAGUUGAAGGUGAACUUUUGUCCAUAGAUCAGUGGAUGAACAGCAUACACCUGUAUGUGAAAAAGCAGUAUGAAUAUGGUGUUCAAUUAUGAUACUGGCUAUGAUAUUCACAAUAGCCUUCAAGUCCUUGCAGACCACCUUUUUACAUAUUUCCAUCUGGACUGGAUUUCCAUCACUCUGGUUCAAGCCACGGGAGAUGAGCCCUCGUAGAGAUGCUGCCUGCAUCCCAGAAGCCAGAGUGAUGUUGCCCAGCCCCUUCCCCAAGACCAACACUCAGCAUCUCAGCAUCCAGCUGCCAGAGCUUGGUGGGGGUUUUGCUUCUUCACUUUAUGCCAUUUCUGCUGAGGGAAGGCUUCAAAGGAGCACUCUGCUUGCGGAUAAUGGGAAAAACCUGCAUCUUGACAUCUUUGCCAGUCCAGUGGAGAGGUCUGGAGCAAAGACUGCUCUUCAGAUGAGUGCUGGGUUUGUCCCAGCCCUUGUGUGACAAGCUUGCUCAGUCAAGGAAAAUGUGACCGGAGCUCAAACUCUA